rnacentral:misc_RNA from 1 species
AAGUCGUAACAAGGUUUCCGUAGGUGAACCUGCGGAAGGAUCAUUACCGAUUUGAGCGAGCCUGGUCUUUUUGACCAUGGUCUCGCGAAAACUUUGUAUUUAAAACCCCACUCUUGUAAUUAAUAAAUGUUAUAUUAUGAUAAAAAUAAAGAUCACUUUCAACAACGGAUCUCUUGGCUCUC